ACAUGCUACAUUUUUCUGUACUACUGAAAGAUGACAACGGGGAAAGUGAAGGGUAAGGCCACUCACAGUCCCUGCAACCUCAUCCGGGCCCACUGGUCAGGAACUGCACCAUGGAAGAGGUUCCUGCUUAGGUCUCUGCGACAUCAGAAUAUGGAAUAAUGGUGUUAUUGUUCUCUUGAAAAUCAACUUAAGUGUAUGGUGCAGAUUUAGUUUGACUGGCUAUUCAAUAUACUUACAGCUGGAUGAGAUUAGGCAGGUCAGCGAAGUCUGGUGGGAGUUGGGCGGAGAAGUUGUGCCCGUUGAGGAAUCUGCGAAGAUGAUCCAUCCGAACAGCACCAAAGGUAGCACAUGUUAGAGCUCAAAAAAUGUGACAACAUGAUCUGCUCAGUUCUACUCUAGCAAGAUCAACUUUGCAGUCAUAAGGUAUUGUUGCAACACAGAUAUCCCCCAGGUAUGUUGUACACAAGGACGAGAAGAGACAAGGAGUCAUGCGUGCAUACAUGUCAGUGACAUGGCAUAUGGUCUUGUUGUUGAAGGAGCAGUCACACGCCAGGCCACCGGAGCCGCAUGGAUUGGCGGAGAAGUUCCAAUGUGAUAACCCGAUCUCCGCAGCAAUCCGUCGAAGCGUGCGCACUGUGAAAACCACAAAAAGAGAAAGGAAAUCAAGAACAGAAAAACACAAUUUCUAGAUAUUCGGGGGAACUGGACCACAUCUUGAGCACCCCCCCUGCUCAUUACAGGUGCUCAGCUCAAGCUUUUCACAGCCACAUGAAUACGGAUGAAGAGCAAAACGAACCAGAGCGACGUUGUCCUCUGGAGGACAACUAAGUUUUUUUUUCUUCCUCUGUUCUUUAGUGAUUCUUGUUAGCUUGUAUAUAUCUUGAACUAAAGUGAGGCAUUGAUUCCUUCUUGCAGUUCUCAUGUAGUUCAACACUCCCAAGCAAGGAUGACCAAAAUGGGAGAAACAGAGCGGACCAAAAGGAAGGAAGGAAGAAAAAAGAGGAGAAAAAUCAAUCCUUGUUCUCAGCUCAAGCUUUUCACAUUCACAUGUAUACGGAUGGAUGAAGAGCAAAACGAACCAGAACCCAUUUACUUUCAACUUAAUUUUCUCGUCAAGCCUUGUAA